rnacentral:rRNA from 1 species
AUUGGGCGUAAAGCGAGCGCAGGCGGUUAGAUAAGUCUGAAGUUAAAGGCUGUGGCUUAACCAUAGUACGCUUUGGAAACUGUUUAACUUGAGUGCAAGAGGGGAGAGUGGAAUUCCAUGUGUAGCGGUGAAAUGCGUAGAUAUAUGGAGGAACACCGGUGGCGAAGGCAGCCUCCUGGGAUAACACUGACGUUCAUGCUCGAAAGCGUGGGUAGCAAACAGGAUUAGAUACCCUGGUAGUCCACGCCCUAAACGAUGUCGAUUAGCUGUUGGGCAACUUGAUUGCUUAGUAGCGUAGCUAACGCGUGAAAUUGACCGCCUGGGGAGUACGGUCGCAAGAUUAAAACUCAAAGGAAUUGACGGGGACCCGCACAAGCGGUGGAUGAUGUGGAUUAAUUCGAUGCAACGCGAAGAACCUUACCUGGUCUUGACAUGUACGGAAUCCUCCAGAGACGGAGGAGUGCCUUCGGGAACCGUAACACAGGUGCUGCAUGGCUGUCGUCAGCUCGUGUCGUGA